rnacentral:lncRNA from 1 species
AAAAUGAGUUUAAUCCAAGAAAAUAGGAGUGGGCAUGGAUGCAAGGUUUAGAUUCAAAAACAUUUGAAUUUAAUUCAAAUGGGUGAAUAGGAAGUGGAAGUUUGGAAGGCCCAAAAAUGUUGAGAAUUUUAGAGGAGCCACAAUAAAUGGAGAAAGAAUUGUUGGCAAAGUUUGAGGAAAGGAAUUGAGAUAACAAAGGCAUGGGGAAUUAUUUUGCAAGUGUGUUUUGGUGAUUCCAAAAUAGUGGAAUAUUUAAUAUAGCUCCCUAAUAUUGGAGGAUAUGUUAUAAAGAGAAGUCGACAUGUGAGUCCCUCGAUUUAAAUGGAUCGAAAAAUCCAUACAAUUUAUUUAGUUGAGGUUUUAAAAAUUAAUGACAUGAUGGCAUGAUGCAAUGCAAAUGAUGCAACAAACAAAACAAAUCACACGAUGAAACUCGGAGUAGCUGGAAGUCUUCUGGAGCGUCGGUCUCGGGGCGUUACAACACUCCACCACUACGAGAGGAUCUCGUCCCGAGAUCUAGAAUGGCACCGGAGGGAAAACGGAAAAGGAAGAGAAACGGUAAAACUAAGUUGCUUCUUACGACAAACGAGUGAAACCAAAGAACCUUGCGAGGUUGAACAAAUUCGAGAAAAGAACACAACGAAGGUGAACGAAGUUGAAAACACUCCGUUAGAAAAGAGGGACAAAGAACAUUGCGAAAACCUUGAGGUUGAAGGGAAGAUAUACAUAGAAAACACUCCGAUUAAGGAAGGGGAUCAAGGAAGACCAAAUUCGGGCAGCACUCCGGUAGAAAAGGGAGGAAUUGAAUAAGAACUUGAUAAGGUGAUAUAACUUGAAAAGAAGGCACGACAAUCCGGUUAAAUGAAUAAGCAAGAAAGGAACAAGGUCCUCACGAAUCGAGAUGGUGAGUGAAAAGAGCAACGUCACAAUGCCUCCGAAAGAAAUAAUAGAAGAUAUAUCAUUGGAAUAACAGAAUGGAGAAGAAAAUGCCAACUUCUGCCACAAAAGAGUUUGGAAAGCAUCCUUGCAAAGAAGAAUUGAACGGAGUUGUUGGAAAAUCAACAACGAAAAGCACAAUCUUGUAGUGGGCUUAUGGAAAACAUCUCAAAAUUAUGAGGUGACAACCGGCCACUAACGGAAACAAUUGCUUGCUUGAGAUCAACGAAGAGAUGAAAACUUCUUCCACCAAGAUGAUAAAGAGAUAACUUGGAUCAUUGGCAAGCACCACAUAUAGCAACAUUCCCAAUGGAAGGCUUUUAGGUGAAAUAUGACACAAGAUAACUCCAACAACGAGGUUGAUGGAUUUAAAAAUAACUCAUUCUUAACAACAUGUGAAUCAUGGAACAUGAACUCAAAUUAUCAAGAAUGACAUAAUACCACCUCCAAAAUAUGGUAGAAAGAAUUGCACUCCGGAUUACCAUAUGAAGAAAGCUUGAGCUCCUUAGGAAAGAAUCUCGAUGAAAACUUUGAGAAGGGAAAUAAAUCCUUGAUGAACCAUCAUGUAGAACCUCCAUGAAGAACUCCGGUAAACAAAAGGAAUGAAAAGAAAGAGAAAUUGAAAACACAAGGUGAAUCCUUGCAAUGAUUUAGAUGGAUCUCCGUGAUAAUUAGAGCUUGGAACUCCGGGAAAAAGAGAAGAUGAAACAAAUGAAACCGAGAAUUUUAAGGGCCUCCGGAAUAAAGAAUUAAUCACUUGGAUGAACAAGAAUAAGAAUUAUGUUAUGCUUAUCCUUCACCAAUUAAAUUGAUGACAAUCAACGGAUUUGGCAUACUACUUAUUCUCGUAGAAAGGAUUAAAAGAGAUAUAGCGUAAACUUGAAAAGGUCUUCAACGAACCACCGGUAGGAUUGGAACAACAAAUGAAUUGAUAUGAUGAACAAGGAAGAGAGAUCUUGAAAGAACCACCAUAAGAAUUGAAAAUGAUCGAAGUAGUGGUGCAUCACCGGUAAGAAUUAGCAAAUGAACGAAGGUGCUUGAGACAAACUAGAUACAUGAGAACAAAGAGAUCAAGAACUGAUUAGAGGAUAUUCGAUUAAUGCACCGGCAAGAUAGGAGAAUGAUAACUGACGGCUGAGAAUGAAUAAACCUGAAUUGAUGGACUCCGGAUGACAAACUGAGAAGACUCUUGAAUAUCUCCUGAUGGGUGAAAAAGAUUCUCACAAUCGAAAACAAUUAUGAGAGGAUGGCAACAAGCUAGCACCAUGAAUCUUGAAGAGAAUAGAGCAAGAUUAAAGAGAAACUCUUCUUCGGUCUUCAAAUGAUGAGAAUGACAACGAGAAACACCACCAAGAAUUAUUGAGGCACACCGGAAGAAUCAAAAGCGAAGAGGUUGAGCCAACUAUGAAAAGAAUUUGAAAGAUCUUGGAGAAAAGCAUUUGACUAAUGAUAACUCAUUCUUACGUCAAACUUGGAGAAGAAUUUAGGAUAGCUCUGGGAAAAUAGAAGAGUCAGGUAAGAUCCUGGGAAAAGACCUGUGGGUUAGGGCCCACUCAAAAGAACACCGUUGAAAAGAUUUAAAAGAGAUGUUGCACUGGUUGAAUUAAAUGACUUGAAUGAGAUACCAAUCUCGAAAGAGCUUGAACGAAUGCAGAGUGGAAACACGAAUCUUCGAGAUAUCUUGAGCACUCCGGAACAAUUUAAUAGCGAGAGAUGGAUGAUUAAGAGGUGCACCGGCAUAAGAAAAGCAUUGGAAAAAAAAGAAAAGGAGUAUGCUUAAUACCAAAGCUUGAAUUAAAUCCACCGGAGAAGAAAAGAACGAGGAAUGACGAACUUGAAGCUCCAUUAGAAUCUUCAUGAGAAUCACCGGAUAAGAACAUUGACGGAAAAGAAUGGAGAAACUUCCCAUCAAUAAAAUGGAUACUUGAAGAAGAAAUCUUAGUCCUUGAAGAAAAACAAAAGGGAGGGAGGGUGGGAAAAACAAAGGCAACUUGGAGACGGAUGAAACAACCACCGUUGAGAAGAAGUGAUAAAUGAUCUUGCAAAUGUUAACGUGAACGGAUCCACUUGAGGAGAGACACACCGGUUAAAAAAAAAGGAUUGACAAGACAGACUCGAUGAUCAAGAAGGAUUAGUAUUCACAUAGGAAUAUGAGAACACCAUUUGGAAAAGGUAUGGAAUCAACAUUUGACUUCGAAGCAACUCGAAUACCACAAAUCAAAACAAAACAAAGGAUUGGCUUGCAAAAUAAGCCAGAACAAACAUAUGAUAGAGAUUUCGUCCGAAGUUUUUGUGGUGGGGCCUACACGGGCUCGAUCGUACAACACCAUCAUGUACAAGGCAGUGCACAUGACAUACGAAGCGUCCCCGAGUCGGCAUAGCCAAGGACUCUUUAAGACACAAAGAGACCACUGUAAAACCAACCGUGAAUAGGCGGACCACUAGACGUCGAACUCCAAUUUCAUAUCAUACAUCCGUCGGAAAGAUAUCCUAAGAGCUACUUGAAUACCCACCUAUGAAACUCCCGAAAUUUUCAGGUUAUGCAAUCAGGUGUUGGGGAUACAGGGGAAGCAUAAUAUCUCACCCAAAACUAACAAAUCCUACAUCCAGCUGUAUCCAUCCUUCAACACAUAACCAAGAAACCUUCGGAAAUCGUCUACCUCAACCUUCGAAAAGCAUCCGUUAUACAAGUUAUGGCAAUACUCCCGUACUCACCUCAGUACUGGGUUAUCGGGGUUAUCUCACCAACAACUGCAUAAAAGAGAUUUUCGAUGUCGGCGUACUAAACUCAGGUAUUCCAGAACUGCAACGAUAAAAUUAUGACGACAACACCUCAGAGCUCAACUCCCCGGGACACUUCCACUAAACCCCUGACAGGAGGCACCAAGACAAUGUUCUCAUCAUAAAACCAUCGAAACGAUUCCAAGAUACCCGCGUGAUCCUAAAAAAAUUUUUAGUGAAAUUUGAGAAGAGAAGAGUCAAAACUCUACGUCAGGAUGCCUUACUAGAGCGAUGAGGAGACUGGGAAGUAAAAAGAAUUCCUAACUCUCCGAUAUAUAUAAUCCUAAAUGACUCAAAAUAUUUUUUUCUAGACACAACUCGGCCGCUAAAAACGAUCAAGCAGUGGGGCUCCUAAGGUCGGGGAAGGCUCUGAUACCAACUUCUAACGCCCUCGAUGCGGCUAUAUCUCCCACGUGUCGAAGCACGACUUAGAGGCAUAACCGCAUUGAAAGCAAUGUCACAAGUGAGGUAAUCUUCACACAACCCAUGUAAUACAUAAGGGAAAGAGAUACAUAGUUGGCUUACAAUCGCCACUUCACACAAUUACAUGAAUAAAGCAUUACAUCAUCCAGAUACAAUCAAGGUCCGACUACGAAACCAAAAUAAAAGAAGAACCCCAAAUGCGACAAAGGUCCCCGAUCGACCCCAACUGGGCUCCACUACUGAUCAACUAGAACGAAACAACACAAAGGGCAAGAUCUUCAUCGAGCUCCUCCUUGAGCUUGGUUGCGUCAUCUGCACGGUAACAUAGGCACCUGCAAACUGGUUCUGGAAGUAUCUGUGAGCCACGGGGACUCAGCAAUCUCGCACCCGCGAGAUCAAGACUAUUUAAGCUUAUGGGAAGGAUGGAGUAAUGAGGUGGAGCUGCAGCAAGCGACUAGCAUAUAUGGUGGCUAACAUACGCAAAUGAGAGCGAGAAGAGAAGGCAAAGCACGUCGAUAAAAGUAUGAUCAAGAAGUGAUCCUAUAGCAACCUACGUCAAGCAUAACUCCAACAACCGUGUUCACUUCCCGGACUCCGCCGGAAAGAGACCAUCACGGUUACACACGCGGUUGAUGUAUUUUAAUUAAGGUCAACUUCGGGUUUUCUACAACCGGACGUUAACAAAUUCCCAUCUGCCCAUAACCGCGGGCACGGCUUUCGAAAGUUCAAAUCCCUGCAGGGGUGUCGCAACUUAGCCCAUGACAAGCUCUCACGGUCAACGAAGGAAUAGACCUCCACCCGAGAUGUUCCGAUCAGACUCGGUAUCCCGGUACAACAAGACAUUUCGACAGGGUAAAACUAAACCAGCAACACCGCCCGAAUGUGCCGACAAAUCCCGAUAGGAGCUGCACAUAUCUCUUUCUCAGGGCACACUCAGAUGAGCAAUCCGUACAACUAAAACCAAACCUCGAGUUUCCCCGAGGGGGCGCUGCACAGGGCUCUAGUUCGGACCAACACUCAGAGGAGCACUGGCCCGGGGGGGUUAGAAUAAAGAUGACCCUUGAGUCUGCAGAACCCAAGGGAAGGUGGUAUGUUGUUAGUGCAAAUGGUAAAACCAAUGUUGGGCAUUGCUGGAAGAGCUUUACUUAAGGCGAACUGUCAAGGGGUUCCCAUUAUAGCCCAACCGUGUAAGGAACGCAAAAUCCGGGAACAUAACACCGAUAUGACGGAAACUAGGGCGGCAAGAGUGGAACAAAACACCAGGCAUAAGGCCGAGCCUUCCACCCUUUACCAAGUAUAUAGAUGCAUUAAUUAAAUAAGAUAUAUUGUGAUAUCCCAACAAGUAAACAUGUUCCAACAAGGAACAACAUCUCCAUGUUCCAACAAGGAACAAACUUCAAUCUUCACCUGCAACUAACAAUGCUAUAAGAGGGGCUGAGCAAAGCGGUAACAUAGCCAAUCAACGGUUUGCUAGGACAUGGUGGGUUAGAGGUUUGACAUGGCAAUUUGGGAGGCUGACAAGCAAGUGGUAGGCAUCGUAGCAUUGGCAUAGCAAAAGAGCGAGCAAACUAGCAUAGCAAAGAUAGUGGUGAUUUCGAGGGUAUGAUCAUCUUGCCUGAAAUCCCGCAAGGAAGAAGAACGAAUCCAAGAAGAAGACAAACGGUCGUAGACGAACAAAUCCUCACAACUCCGGAACGAAACCGAAGCUAACGAGAGAAGGAAACCGGAAAGAAACAAACAACAUAGUAAACACACAAGCAUAAACAAGUCAUGAUGCACAAACAAGUAUGAUGCAUGUCCGGUUUAAUGAGGCAUGGCAUGGCAAAGUGCACAAACAAUCCUACAAAUUAAAUGGAGCUCAAUAUGCAACUGCAUAUUGACGAAACACCACGAUAAGUUAUUUAGUUUGAUCCCAUUUAUGUACCCAACAAUAUUAAAUGUUGUUAAGCAUGGCAAGAGGGUGAAGCAAAAUAUAAACUAUACCAUCUAAACAAUUUAAAUGGGGCCGGAUAUAAAAACAACAAUUCCGGAGAAUCCCCAUAUCAUUUAGCAAUUUAAAGCAAGCAACAAUUUUAACCAUUUUAAAUGUUGUUAUCAUGAUGCGGAUGACAUAUACAAGUUUUAUGCAAUUUUAUGAAAAUGUUGACAUGAGCAUGUUAUGAAGCAUUUGGUCACCAUGGCGGAACAAAAAGGGUGCCACGGCAACAUUCCGGUCCCGGUAACUCAUGGAGAUACCGGUACAAAAGGAGGUGUGCGGAUGUGCGAAACCUGCAGAAGAUGGUGGGGUGAUCCCGUCUACCGGGUUCCCACGGGAUAGUGGCAUGGAAACGAGUGACAAACGGACACGAUGCAAAAACGGGCACGGUGCAAACAUAGGGUGCAUCUCAUACAACACAUGCAUUCGGUCACGAUCGGUCAUCUCGGGGUUAUACCUUCGAAGCGUGCGUUUUCGGAGCGGUUCGAGUCGUCGAGGGAAGUAGUCGUUCACGGGCCGACGGUAGUGGUACAUCUCGUAGACGUUCACGGGCCGUAGUGGAGGUAGACGUUUACGGCAUAGUCGUACAUGUCGGCGGUAGAGGAAGUAGUGGUACACGGCCGUAGAUGUACUUGGCGAUCCGAAGGGGUACUUGUACUUGCAUCGUCAUGGAAGUAGUCGUUCGGGCUCCCGUGCGGACUUGGUGGUGGUGUACUUGGCGAAUCCACGGGUGUCAGUAGUUGUACACGGGUCUUCGGCGUCAAGGUACUUGGCGAUCUCAUGGAUGAUAGAGGCAUGGUGCAGGGUCGACGGGAGCAGGAGGUGCACAGAGGGAUCGGUGUGCAGGGGGUCGCUGGGCCUUGGCGCAGGCUGCAGCCCACGGCAAAGCAGAGGAGGCGCAGAGAGCAUAGCCAACACGGCUGGGACGAGCAGCGAGGUAGGAGAAGUGGGGCUUGUCGGUGGGGAUGGCUGCCAGCGGUCGCGGGAGGGACGGCGGCCUGGUGGCGAAGCUUGACAGCAAGGCGGCCAUGGUUGGCGCCGGGCACGAGGUGAGGAGGAGGACCAGAGGAAGGGGAGGCGGCAGCGGGGAUGGCUGCGGGCGCCAUGGGGAGGCGACGACGCGGAGGAGGGAAGGAUGCAGGGGCAACGACGGAGGUCCUGGCACGGCCGCAGGCGACGGAGGAGGGAAGGCGUCGCGGCGGAGAGGAUGGGAGACGAGGCAGGGGCGCCGGAGUCGGCCUCCAGUGGCGGCGCGGGAGAAGGAAGGGCGGGGUGGAGGCGCACAGGAGGGGAAGGAGGAGAUCGAGGAGAGGGGCGAUGGGAUCGGGUGCGGCGCUGAGGGAGGACGAGGAGGGGGUUCGAGGGAGAGAUAGAAUCGGGGGAACAGGCUAGGGUUCUCAGCGGAGGCGGCUGAGCCUUAGGGGCAAAUGGGCCGGCCUGGUUUGGGAGGCCCAGGCUGCUGGGUUCUCUUCUCCCACUCUCUUAAUCUAAAAAGACAGAAAAUAAAAGAGAGAAAGGUAAAAAGGAAGAGGGGUUGUAAGGAAUGAAUUUGAACGGAAGGGCAAUUUUCCUGGACUCACAAAAAUGAGUUUAAUCCAAGAAAAUAGGAGUGGGCAUGGAUGCAAGGUUUAGAUUCAAAAACAUUUGAAUUUAAUUCAAAUGGGUGAAUAGGAAGUGGAAGUUUGGAAGGCCCAAAAAUGUUGAGAAUUUUAGAGGAGCCACAAUAAAUGGAGAAAGAAUUGUUGGCAAAGUUUGAGGAAAGGAAUUGAGAUAACAAAGGCAUGGGGAAUUAUUUUGCAAGUGUGU